CCCACCUCCAUAUAUAUACUCCCCACGUCCGGCUUGUCUGAUUUUUCCCCAAAAUCGCAGUCUCCCGUGCCCUAGGUUGAUUUCGCGAUCUCGCCGGAGUUCCACCGCUGCUGACCUCCGCCGUCGUCGUUUCCGUCGCCUACAGGGAGUACCGAACCGAGCGCAAGGACCUCGAUCCGAAGAUCACAGCCACCGCACGACUCCAGCCACCCUCUGCCGUCAACCCCGUUCGCCACCGACGCCUCUGAGGACUUCUUCGAGACUGCAUCCGAGCUCCGCGCCCCGUACGCUACCCUCCGGAGUCUCGAGACCACCGGAGCAGGCGCCACCAUCGCCGCCCGAGCCGCCGCGCCGCUGUUUUGUCCAAGUCCGGCCGCCCCAGCCUCUGUUCCUCUUCGAUUGUCCGGAGUGUGAAGCGGAUCAGAAUUAAUCGUUAGAGUACUUCAGCACCGUUCAA